GAUAAAAAGAUCCUCCUUCCUUUUCUAAACUUCUUUUUAAAGUUUUAAAUUUGGUAAAUUAGAUGUUCCCUGAAUUUAGAGUAUCCAUGGGAACAUGUCCCAUUUUUACCAGCAAUUAAUAUACCCAUAGGAACAUUACGGUACAUGUUCCUCUCCAAAGUAAUAAAGGUAUCCAUUGGAACAUCACAUGUUCCUCUCCAAAGUAAUGAAGGUAUCCAUAGGAACAUCACAUGUUCCUCUCCAAAGUAAUGAAGGUAUCCAUAGGAACAUCACAUGUUCCGCUCAAAAGUAAUGAAGGUAUCCAUAGGAACAUCACAUGUUCCUCUCAAAAGUAAUGAAGGUAUCCAUAGGAACAUCACAUGUUCCUCUCCAAAGUAAUGAAGGUAUCCAUAGGAACAUCACAUGUUCCUCUCCAAAGUAAUGAAGGUAUCCAUUGGAACAUCACAUGUUCCUCUCCAAAGUAAUGAAGGUAUCCAUAGGAACAUCACAUGUUCCUCUCCAAAGUAAUGAAGGUAUCCAUAGGAACAUCACAUGUUCCUCUCCAAAGUAAUGAAGGUAUCCAUAGGAACAUCACAUGUUCCUCUCCAAAGUAAUAAAGGUAUCCAUAGGAACAUCACAUGUUCCUCUCCAAAGUAAUGAAGGUAUCCAUAGGAACACCACAUGUUCCUCUCCAAAGAAAUAAAGGUAUCCAUAGGAACAUCACAUGUUCCUCUCCAAAGUAAUGAAGGUAUCCACAGUAACAUCCCAUGUGUCUUACCAAUGUAAAUAAGGUAUCCAUAGGAACAUGGGAGCCUCGGUGGCCAAGUGGUCUAAGUAGUUAUAACUGUAAUCACUAGCCAGUUAACACUGAGGUUGUGAAUUCAAACCCCGCUCGUGCGGGUGCACAUGACUCCAAUCUUAAUUGACUUAGGGUUGUCAGUUUUCCUAUUGAAGGUCAGUGGUUUUCUCCAGGCACUCUGGCUUCCUCCACCAAUACAAACUGGCUGCCAUGAAAUAGCCAAAGUAGUGCUUAAAAGUGGCGUUAAAACACCAAAAAAUCAAAUUCAAAUCCAUAGGUGCACUGCAUGCUCCAAAUUUACUGGUAUCUGAUAUCCAUUGGAAUCCAAAUUUAGUUGUUCAGUUUGUAUUGAUGACAGAAUUGGCUUUACAAUGAACUUUGAACUCAAAGAAAUGGAUACACAUGUUUCAGAAAAAUAAGUUUGGUACCUAUAUCUCUUUUCACACUUUUGUUGUUUUUAAAUAAUUUGUAAAUUUUAUUGUAAAUGUAACAUAUUUAAGUUGUCAAAUUUUUGUGUAAAAAGGGGAAUGACCAUUUCAAAACUGUUUUUCAAUAUUUUUGUUAAAGAUUUUCAGAAGGAAACAGAAAAAUUAUUUAUAAAAAUGUGGAUAGUGUCAAAUGUGUAUAUAGUUUUAAGAAAAAUAGAAAAAAAAACAAAAAAAUGCAUGGGUGAUGGUUUUUAAUGAUUUUAAGAAAAAUAGAAAAAAAAAAAAAAAAAAAAUAUGCAUGGGUGAUGGUUUUUAAUGAUUUUAAGAAAAAUAGAAAAAAAAAAAAAAAAAAAAAAUAUGCAUGGGUGAUGGUUUUGAAUGAUUUUAAGAAAAAUAGAAAAAAAAAAAAAAAAAAAAUAUGCAUGGGUGAUGGUUUUUAAUGAUUUUAAGAAAAAUAGAAAAAAAAAAGAAAAAAAAUGCUUGGGGUUUAAUUAUAUCGUGAUGCAGAAAUGGGUCCAUUAUUUUAUCUUGAAUUUGGGAUUUAAUUAUAUCAUGAUAUGGAAUGGAUACAUUCUUUUAACUUGAAUUUGGGAUUUAAUUAUAUCAUGAUACGGAAUGGAUACUUUCUUUUAACUGGAAUUUGGGGGAUUUAAUAAUAUCAUGAUACAGAAUGGAUACAUUCUUUUAACUGGAAUUUGGGAUUUAAUUAUAUCAUGAUACGGAAUGGAUACAUUCUUUUAAUUUGAAUUUGGGGGAUUUAAUCAUAUCAUGAAACAGAAUGGAUACAUUCUUUUUACUUAAAUUUGGGAUUUAACUAUAUCAUGAUACGGAAUGGAUACAUUCUUUUAACUGGAAUUUGGGAUUUAAUUAUAUCAUGAUACGAAAUGGAUACAUUCU